GUUCGAAUUACUUAAAACCGCGAUCGUUUCGUAAAAAAAAAAGUUUCAUUUAAUCACAAUUUUUUUCUAAGUCUAAUAUCAAUUUUUUUUCCGGGAGUGUUCGAAUAUCUUAAAACCGCGAUCGCUUAAUAAUUUAGAAAAAAAAUUUGUUUUCAUUUAAUCGCAAUUUCGGGAGUGUUCGAAAUUAUUAAAAUAGCGAGUGUUUGUGUCAAUUUAUUGAAUGGAAACUCUUCAGGAAAGGAAAUCGACAACAGCAAAGUUAAAGAAUGGAAAUUCGUUCUGGAACGGAAAUCGGCAACAGCAGCAAUUUUAAGAUAACGAACUUUUGCUGUAAAUCGCCCUAGGUUCCUCAACGAAAUGAUAAUGUAGUUUUGCUGGAAAUCCUCGCUUCCUCUACGAAUUGAUCCGAGAGUAAAUUUGAGGGACGCCUAUUCGGAACUACUACAAGGUUCGUAAUAAUUAUUAUUAUACGAAAAAAAAAGUAUUAUUCCGAGAAAAAAAUUGGGACUGAACAAAAAACUAAUUUUUAGUAAAAAAAAAAAAUAACUGAAAAAUAGUCAAAUUAAAAUUAUAGUCUCAAUGAAUUAGUUAACAAAAAUUUUAAUUAUUUAUAUCCAUUGCAUAUUGUAUAUAUAUAUAUAUCAUAUGUUAAUUUCUAUAUUUUCUACUUCCGUAUAAUUGGAAAUUGGAGCAUCCAAAAUGGAAAUGGAACACGAAUAUAUAACUUAUUGAUAUCACAGAGUUUAAUGAGCGCGUAUUUAUGGGAUUUAAAAUAGUAUCAUUGUUAUAUAAAUGGAAUUUUUUUUUGGUUGAAAUAAUAAUCAUCAUCUGCGCCAUGGUGAAUAUAUAUAUAUAUAUAUACAUGUGUAGGCGUUAUGAAAAAUUUAAUUUCGCGUGUGCUAAAUGUGAGCAGGCACGAAAUGGCUUCUAUGUUACGACGAUGUUAACUCGUGAUGGGUGCAUCCGGUGCACGGGUAUUGCGCCGUCUUUUCUGUAUGACGGGUUCACCGUUAUUAUUAAUUUACGAAUGACGGUGCGAGAUGCCCAAUUUCUGGUGUAAUACGGUUAAACUAAUUAAUUGGCACGGAAGUUAUAUAACGCGUUGAAAGUGGAAAUGUACCAUAUGUGUGAGCGGGAUGCUGUACGCGACGAAAAUGCGCGUCCUAUAUAUAUGAUUCUCAUUUCUCUCCCUUGAAAUUUCUUAUUCAACAAAAUUUUAAUGACAUUUCUCGUUGGGAUUACAUUUUUUUUUUUUUUUAAUAACAAACAAAUGAUUAGUUUUGAAAAAUUUUUUUUUGAUAGAAGAAGAUUUGAGACAAUCAUUAAAAUGUAAAAUACAGUUGGGUUAAGUUAUAACGUUUAAAAAAAAAAAAAUUCUCUUCUCGCGCGACUCUCCCAUUCACACAUUCAUUAUUAUGAAGUGGAAAGGCCUGCUUGCGCUUUGCGUGAACAUGGAAUUUAAAACUUUGAUUUCAAAGUAUUUUUUUCCUUCUUUCUUUUUUUUUUCUUCUUUUUUUUUUAAACUCAAAGGGAAUGCUCUUUGAGGUUAGGGUUCAACCACCGCAAAGCGCAUUCUCGAGUUUUGCUCGUGCAGUCGCAGCCAAAUCGAGGCUCGUGAGGAAUUCUGUUGCUUUGACUAUAUACGCCGAGUCAUGUAAAUGAAAAGCCAUACAAGAGUUGCACAUUCGAAAAUUCUCUUUAGCGUUAAUUUCUUUAUAUAUACAAUAUAUAAACGGCAAAAGAAAAACGUUAUAGGCUUUCAAUUUUUGUAAGUGAAUCAGCCAAAAUUCAAAAUAAAUUGUCGAAUCACUCAUCUUAAAAAUGAAAUUGUAAUCUGAGUACUAAAUGUGCAAUUAGUCGACCUCCAUCCCUUCUAGUAAUCACAGAAGGACGAUGAAAUUAAUUCUUUUCGUAGAAAACUCAAAGACGACUACACUCGCGUAAAGUGUGAAACUCACUCAACUCGACUUGACGUUAAUUCUUUUCUCUUUGAAUUCAAAGGGGGGAGAAAAAGUAAUUAAAAAAAUUCUAGGUGUCGAGAGUCUCUGUACUAUUAUUAUUAUAUAAAAUACUAAAUUUUCUAUUUAUCUAACUAUAUAUAU